UACGUAGGGUGCGAGCGUUGUCCGGAAUUAUUGGGCGUAAAGGGCUCGUAGGCGGUCUGUCGCGUCGAAAGUGAAAAUCCAGGGCUUAACCCUGGGCCUGCUUCCGAUACGGGCAGACUAGAGGUAUGCAGGGGAGAACGGAAUUCCUGGUGUAGCGGUGAAAUGCGCAGAUAUCAGGAGGAACACCGGUGGCGAAGGCGGUCUCUGGGCAUUACCUGACGCUGAGGAGCGAAAGUGUGGGAGCGAACAGG
rnacentral:rRNA from 1 species